rnacentral:tRNA from 2 species
CGCCAUUGCACGAUGGGCAGCGGCGCGGCCUUUAAGGCUGCGGGUAAUCAGGCUGGAUAGGCGGAUUGAUGCCGUCAUUGGUGAC